CAGGACGAACGCUGGCGGCGUGCUUAACACAUGCAAGUCGAACGAUGAAGCCUUUCGGGGUGGAUUAGUGGCGAACGGGUGAGUAACACGUGGGCAAUCUGCCCUUCACUCUGGGACAAGCCCUGGAAACGGGGUCUAAUACCGGAUAACACUCUGUCCCGCAUGGGACGGGGUUAAAAGCUCCGGCGGUGAAGGAUGAGCCCGCGGCCUAUCAGCUUGUUGGUGGGGUGAUGGCCUACCAAGGCGACGACGGGUAGCCGGCCUGAGAGGGCGACCGGCCACACUGGGACUGAGACACGGCCCAGACUCCUACGGGAGGCAGCAGUGGGGAAUAUUGCACAAUGGGCGAAAGCCUGAUGCAGCGACGCCGCGUGAGGGAUGACGGCCUUCGGGUUGUAAACCUCUUUCAGCAGGGAAGAAGCGAGAGUGACGGUACCUGCAGAAGAAGCGCCGGCUAACUACGUGCCAGCAGCCGCGGUAAUACGUAGGGCGCAAGCGUUGUCCGGAAUUAUUGGGCGUAAAGAGCUCGUAGGCGGCUUGUUGCGUCGGUUGUGAAAGCCCGGGGCUUAACCCCGGGUCUGCAGUCGAUACGGGCAGGCUAGAGUGUGGUAGGGGAGAUCGGAAUUCCUGGUGUAGCGGUGAAAUGCGCAGAUAUCAGGAGGAACACCGGUGGCGAAGGCGGAUCUCUGGGCCAUUACUGACGCUGAGGAGCGAAAGCGUGGGGAGCGAACAGGAUUAGAUACCCUGGUAGUCCACGCCGUAAACGUUGGGAACUAGGUGUUGGCGACAUUCCACGUCGUCGGUGCCGCAGCUAACGCAUUAAGUUCCCCG
rnacentral:rRNA from 1 species